rnacentral:lncRNA from 1 species
GCAAUUAAUGCUGAAACACAGCUAGCACACAUAGCAAUAACUUAGGCAAAAAGGCAACACUCAAGCAAAAUCCUUCCUGGAAUUAAAAUCCUGUUAUUAAGUCAACCAACUUUUCUUUUAACUAACUAAAUAAACAACAGCAAGACAUGAAACCUAGACCUAUGAGUUUAGUACCUGAAUCUCUUGCUGAUUCAUGCAUUUCUAUCAAUCUUCUCAGUCAGAUGUUUAGCUCAGAUCUGUCCUCUUAUCCAAGCUUUUCCAAGAGUCUCCUAGCUACUCUUCUGGCAUCAUGCUACACCCUACAAUCCAGCUCUUCAAAGUCAUCUGACUUCUUUUUAAAAGUUGCAUACUAUAUAUACAUCUCUCUCUUGCUCAACAUUCUUCAGUUAUUCCCUAGUGGGCACAGAAAAAAGUCUAGCUUCUUAGCAUGUUACUUGGGCUCCUUCAGUGCCAGUCCCCACAAAUUCCUCACCCAUCCUGCAGAAGCUCCCAGUUUUCAAUAUUCUAAAUGCUGUGGAACUUCUAUCUACGCAGGAUUCUAAAGAUGAGGAAAACUAGUCCCUUAAGACUCAGCUUAGGCGUUGUCCCUUGUGCCUUUACUGUUAGUUUGCCCCUCUGUUCUUAAGAGUUUAUUCCUGGCAUUGCUCUUAAGGGAAGGAAGUUUGGCAGGGCCAAGAGUCCUAAAUGUUAGACCUUUCUCUCUAAACACUAACAACAUUAAAACUCCAUUCAAGAAGGAGAAAAAGAAGCCAUCAUCUAGAAACAAUGUUGAUAACCACAGUUCCUUAACUUGGGCUUGUUAAAAGACUUUAUCUCCGUGAGUAUACUGAAACAUAUAUUUAGUUUAUCUCCUAUUAUCAAGAAAGAAAUAUUAAAACUUCAUUGUUGAGGAUCACUCUGAAUAUGAAAGUGCUUAAGACAAUCAGGUCUUGAGAUCUAGAAAUUAGUAUAAGUACUGAGUGCUCGGGGAAAAAAAUUAUACUCUUCAAACUACAUCCCUGGGAGUAUUAGUGAUGUCAUAAUUCAUCUCAGGGAAGCCAUGGGAAACAUUCCUGAGGAUCUAGAAACUAUAGGACGGAUACUUAUAAAAGAUAAGCGAAGUAUAGUGCAUAGGUUGCUGAGAGGUGGAGAGAAAGUUGCUUACUUUUCCUGAGCCUCAACUUUCUGAAAAUAUAGAAACACAAUUAGAUGAUGAGUUAUGAGGUGAAGGAGAGGAUGACUCAGCAGCAGUGUGCCAGCUCCACAGUGACUUCUCCACCAAGCUGGAGAAGGAUUUGCAGCAAUGGUUCCAGAACCAACUGUGCAUAUCUAUAGAAUGAAGAUCAUUUAGACUAUGAUCAUUUAGACUGUAUCACUUUUGAUUCUUGCUAUGUUGCCCAGGCUGAUCUCAGAUUCCUGGGCUGAAGUGAUCCUCCUGCUUCAGCCUCCAGAGCAGCUGGGAUUACAGCAGCUUCAGUGCUGAGGCUAAUGGCAAAGGAAACACCAGGGGAUCAGUGAGUAAGAACUUGUCAAGGGAACAAAGUCUGAAGAUGGAACAGAGGAAGAGGAGAAAAUCUUCCACCAAAAAAAAUAUUAAAAUCUGAUCUUCAAGGAAAUACUGAAUCCACAUAGCACUCCCCUCCCCUCCCCUCUCAGGCACAGCAUUACUCACCAUCUCACAGAGGAGAAAGAGAAAUAUAAAAUAAAAAGUGGAAACAAUCAUUAAAAAUACUUAGCCACUCCCAUGUGUCCUGGGAAACUGAGAACACAGUAACUACCAAACAAAUUACAUGAUGUCACAUGCCAGAUACCUAAAGAAUAACAUCACCCCAUCUUUAGAAACAGAAGAAAAUAAAAUAGCAAAAGCAAGAC